AGAUUGAACGCUGGCGGCAUGCUUUACACAUGCAAGUCGAACGGUAACAGGCCGCAAGGUGCUGACGAGUGGCGAACGGGUGAGUAAUGCAUCGGAACGUGCCCAGUCGUGGGGGAUAACGCAGCGAAAGCUGUGCUAAUACCGCAUACGAUCUAUGGAUGAAAGGCGGGGACCGAAAGGCCUCGCGCGAUUGGGAGCGGCCGAUGUCAGAUUAGCGUUAGGUUGGGUAGGGGUAAACGCCCGAACGAAGGCGACGAUUCGUGUAGCGUGGUCGUAGGAGACGGACGACCAGCCAC
rnacentral:rRNA from 1 species